AUAUGUUGUAAAUAUGUUAUUUAUAUUUAACUGUAUCUGUUCUUAUCAGUUUAAUAUCUGAUACGUCCCCUAUCUGGGGACCAUAUAUUAAAUGGAUUUUUGAGAACGGGGGCCGAUUUCGAAGCUUGCUUCCGUCGCCCUAUGCAUUGACCCGAUAUGGCAGUAUCUUCGGGUACAGUGCACCACCC